GGGCCCGUAGCUCAGCCUGGUAGAGCACCGGCCUUUUAAGCCGGCUGUCGUGAGUUCAAAUCUCACCGGGCUCG
rnacentral:tRNA from 1 species